rnacentral:rRNA from 1 species
CAGUCGCCGCGGUAAUACAGAGGGUGCGAGCGUUAAUCGGAUUUACUGGGCGUAAAGCGUGCGUAGGCGGCUUUUUAAGUCGGAUGUGAAAUCCCUGAGCUUAACUUAGGAAUUGCAUUCGAUACUGGGAAGCUAGAGUAUGGGAGAGGAUGGUAGAAUUCCAGGUGUAGCGGUGAAAUGCGUAGAGAUCUGGAGGAAUACCGAUGGCGAAGGCAGCCAUCUGGCCUAAUACUGACGCUGAGGUACGAAAGCAUGGGGAGCAAACAGGAUCAGAUACCCCAGUAGUCCCUGUCUCUUAUAC